AUGGUGGGGACUCUAAACAGACUGCCUGUGCAAACAGAGAGGAAGGAGGGGACGACGUCAAGUCAUCAUGGCCCUUACGUCCGGGGCUACACACGUGCUACAAUGGAUGGUACAGAGGGCAGCUACAUAGCAAUAUGAUGCGAAUCUCACAAAGCCAUUCACAGUUCGGAUUGGGGUCUGCAACUCGACCCCAUGAAGUUGGAUUCGCUAGUAAUCGCGUAUCAGCAAUGACGCGGUGAAUACGUUCCCGGGCCUUGUACACACCGCCCGUCAAGCCAUGGAAGUUGGGGGUACCUAAAGUAUGUAACCGCAAGGAGCGUCCUAGGGUAAAACCGAUAACUGGGGCUAAGUCGUAACAAGGUAGCCGUACCGGAAGGUGCGGCUGGAAUACCUCCUUUCU
rnacentral:rRNA from 1 species